AAACAACAAUAAAAUUAACUUUAAAAUAAAAAUAGUCAAAAUAUUAAAAUAAAUCAUACAGAUUAGUUGGUUGAAAUACGAUCAAACCGUCUACUCCAGUUAAAGGUCCAAACAUCCUUAUUUCAAAAUGGC